AAGUUAAAGUUCGUCAUCAACCUUUUAGGCAGCAGUCAAGGGACUUCAACGUGGAUUUACGAUGUUUUCUUGCAAUCUGUAAGUUGGAUUGGAUUGAACUUCUUGAACAUUUAGAAGACUUGUAAAGACACUAGUGGUAGAAGUUUCACAACAAUCGGAUGGUCAGAUUGAGAAUUACAGCUUGCCGAGGCUCAUUAUUUAAAGUUAGGAUUUAAAAAUAAAUAAAUAAAUAAAAAUAAAUAAAUAAAUAAAAUAGAAAUAAAAAUAACAAAUAAAAAAAGAAUUUGUGCUUAUAAUAUCUAAAAGCUAUUAAAAAUAGUGUUCUAAGUACUUUGUAUUGGGAUUAAGCUUUUAUAUUGAAAUCUGAAAUAGUUUGUGUUUAGAUAGUUGAAAUCCACUAGACUACUUGGAUACUUGCAAAACAUCAUUUUAUCUUCCACAGCCAGAUGUCCAAUGCGUUUUCAAGCUAGAUAGCAUGUAAUACAAUAUAAGUGGUGAAUUCAACGUAAAAUGCUUGAGGUGGGAGAUAUUGAAAUUCUUUUAUUUUCAUUUUUAUUUUAUGGAGAACGAGAAUAAAUUUUUUGAAGGAGCUUAAAGUGGAGCUUCUUCUAAAGGACAAGGUAUAUAUAUGGAUCCAUCCGUUGCUAGUAUGUUUCAAGCCUUAUCAUUAUCUAUGCAGCAACAGCAAAGCAAUGAUCAUAAAGAAGCUUUAGCAACGAAAGCAUUGCAAGCAAUGGUCAAUAAAAUUGAUUAAUUUGAUGGAAGGAAUAUUUCAAGGUAUUUAAGAUGUUAUGUUUGGAAAAUAGAAUUAAAUCGGGUUUUUGAGAAGAAGAUGGUUGAAUUAUUUGGACUUGCCAUGAUACCGGAAAUAAGAGAGCAUAUUACAUCAAUUAUGGAGCAUUAUGGAAAUUCAUGGGAAAUUUUUUCACAUGCAUUAAAAGACGAAUAUUUCUUGGAGGACAUUGAUUGUAUUACUAAAAAACUAUUUUUAGAAUGGAUUGAAUGGCCUAAUAAGAAUUUGCAAGCAACAAAGCUACUAAGGGAAUUUGAGAGGUAAUAUUCUCAAUUAUCAAAGGUAGAAAAAUUGACAUUAGAGCCGAACAAGGUUGAAUUAUUUCUUCAAGCUGCUGAUGGAGAGUUACAAGGGAAAUUGGAGUUGCUUCUUGAAGACAAAGAAGAAGAUGAAGGAUUAACAACAAAGUGGAAAAAUGUUGAAAAUGCGGUGGAUUUGCUUGCAAAAAGAGAAAAGAGGAAGGAUAGGAAUAAUAUUCCAAAAGUAAUAUAAGCACCUAAAAUUCCAGUACAUACAAUACGACCAACAAUGCCUAGUGUUCAACCUUCAACAUCUUUAUCAAACAAAGGAGAGAUGGUGAUUAAAGAAAUUAUACAUGGAAUGCGAGAUCUUCAAAUCAAAUUGGCAAGACUUGAAGAAAAAACUCCUACAAACAAUGUGAAGAAUGUUUCAAAACAAGGAUAUGUACAAAGAUGUAUCUGGUGUGAUGAAGUUUCACAUACUAAUAAGGAUUGCAAUGAAUUUAAUAAUAUAGUAUAGCAAGGAGUUAUUUACUGGAAAGAUAGAAAGAUUGCAUUAAAUGACACAAAAGAUCUUCUUUAAUCAAUUUUGGCAAAGGAGGUAUGAGAGCAUUGAUUCAAGAUUAUUUAAUAGAAUAUGGAAUAGCAACACGAGAGAAUGUAAGUUAUGGCAGUAGAGUAGAUGAUGACUUUGGUGGAAGUAUAGAAAUUAGUGAAUUUUGGGCUUCUGCCAUUUUCAUAAUGCAAAAAAAAAAAAUACAUCGGGAAGCAUUAUUGUAGAUUGCAACUACAAUACGAGGUGCAACAGAUUGGAAAGAUCCUAUUGAGUCUCUUUCAGUUCAUGCAUAUAUUGCUAAGAGCCACCAUGAAGCUUUGAUAAAAGAAAAGAGACGAGGAAAUUUUGAUGAUACAAGGGAAGAAAAUUCUUUUAAGAAGAAAAUUCGAGGAGACAAGGCUUGUGAGGCAGCUUCAUAAGAAUUACCUAUAAAGUAUACUUCAACAUCAUUGAAAGAAAAAACAAAGGAGACAAAAGAAAAGAAUAAAUCAAUUGUUUAUAAGCUACUUUCUAAUAUUGAAGUGGCAACAAAUUUAAAAGGGGUGUUGGAAGAACGUAUAUUAAAUGCUAAGGUGGAAUUUGCAUUGAAAGAAAUUUUGGAAAUUGUAAAGGAGUUUCAUGAUGUUAUCAUUGACAAUAUUAAGUGAAAGAGGUAAUUAAUGGGUGAAGUUGGAAUGAGUCAUGCUAUUGAUGCAGGAUUAUAUAAAAUUGAAGAAGAUAUUGAUAAUGGUUACAAAAAAUCAACAAAUGAAAAGAAUGGAUAUAAUCAACGAGUACAUUUCGAAGAUUAUAGUGAUAAGGAAAUAAAAGCUUCAAGCCAUUAUACUCAGAAAUAUUGAGCAAGGGCAACUAUUGAGGUAUUGGUGAAAGUAGAAAAUAUAGAAGAAUGAACUGUUGCUUUAGUUGACCAUGGUUCUGAAAUAAAUCUUAUGUCUAAAAUCUUUAUAAGAAGUAAAAAUGGCCAAUUGAUAUGGAACAUGGAUGGGUAAUACAAGCAGCUUAUAACACACGAGGUGAAUUAUAUGGAGUUUAUCCACAUGUCAAAAUUUAGAUUGGAGAUAUUGCGACAAAAUAACAUUUCUUUGUUCAAGAUACAACAUCUUAUCCAUUGAUUUUAAGACAACCUUAUAUUACGGCAACAUGAAUGGAAACAAAAGUACUUAACGAUGGUUUUACUUAUGCAAGGGUACAUAAUAAAGAUAGAAGAAAAGUUGUAUAAUUUCUAACAGUACCUCCUAAUCAUAAACGGAAUCGAGAUAGGUUGAGGGAGAAACCAUUGCCAAGGGUUGUUGAAGGAUUUAAGGAUUUUGAAGAAGUACCACUAUAAAGCGGGAUUAUGGAGGUACAAAAGAGGAGGUACUCUCGUGAGAUGAAGGUGCCUUUGAUGCAAGUUUUAUUGAUAUUUUUAAGGAUGGAAAUAUUAUGUAUAAAAAAAUUGAUGAUUUUAAAAGAAAAGAAAAAAAAGAAUAUAUAGUAUUGAAAGGGAAUUACGUAAGUUAGGGACAUUAGAAGAUGAUGAGAAGAUUUUAGGAGUUUAUGAAGAAAAUAAAUUAGAGGAUUCUUUAGAAUUAAUUACAUCUAUUGGAUUAGGGGAUAAUGAUAAGAUUGUAGAAAUUCAUUCGAGGGAGGUUUAUUCUAUACUUGAAUCUUUUUAAGAAUCAGAAGUUAUUGUAGAGACAAAAUAUAAAAUAGUAGAUAAAAAGGUAAAACUUGUUGCCAGACCUUUACCAGAAGAUUUUAAAGAAUAAAUGGAAGAAGCAUCAAAAGAAGAGAAUUUAAGAGAUCCAAAGAAGAUUGGACAUCAGUUUACAAAGGAGACUUUUGAAGAAUUAAAGAUUGGAUGUGAUGGUUCUUUAUUUCCAACAAAAAUUGAAUAUAUUAAAAAAAUGCUUGCAAAAUGAGGUAAAUCAUUUACCUUUGGGUCUCAUGAAAUAGGAUGUGUAGAUCCUAAUGUUGUUGCUCCUAUGGUUAUCUUUACAAUACUUCAUGUGCCUUGGAACUUAAGGCCAAUUCCCAUGCCAAGGGCAUAUUUAUCUAAAUUGGUGGAAUUAUUGAAAGAAGAGAUGGGAAUGAAAAUUUUGGAGCCUUCUUUUGCUCCAUAUUCUAGUCAUUGGUUUAUGGUGCCUAAAAAAAAUAGAUCGUUAUGUUUUAUUCAAGAUAUGAAGGCAAUGAAUGUAGUAACUAUAAGAAAUACAGGUAUAGGACCUUUAGUAGACGAGUUUAGAGAAGCAUUUGUGGGAAGGGAAAUUUAUUCAAUAGAAGAUUUAUAUUCGGAUUAUGAUCAAUUUCAACUUAUGCAUGGGAGUAGAAAUCUAACAAAAAUGAGAACGCCACUUGGAUUGCUUAAAAUGUAUACUCUCCCACAAGGUGUUAUUAACUGAAUUGCACAUAUGAUGAAUGGGAUGAACAAGGUACGAAGAGACUUCAUUCCUAAAAAAACCAUGCCUUUUUUAAAUGAUGUUCUUAUCAAAGGAUGUAAAGAAGGAAAAAAAGAUGAAACUUUAGAUGAGAGGGGGUGUUGCAAAUAUGUUGUUGAUCAUAUACAAGUUUGUGAAAAGAUUUUAACUCAACUUGAAGAGGUUCAUCUUACACUUUCAAGAGCAAAAUCUACAUUUAGAAUACAAGUUUUUAUUAUUGGAUAUUUGUGUGGGUUUUAUGUGAGAAAGUUAGAUCCAUGCAAAGUUGAUACAAUUAGAAGGAUGAAAGAUUCAUGUGAGUCUUUAACAGAAGUACGCAGGUUUUUAGGAGCUUAUGUAUUUUAUCAUAUAUAGAUUCUUCAUUAUGCUCAUAUAGCAGAUCCAUUAUAUGAAUUAUUACUUAAAGAUUAUUAAUUUAAAUGGAAAAAAAAGCAUACUGAAGUAAUACAGAAGCUAAAGGUGUUAUUGGUGAUACCUCCAAUUUUAAGAAAAAUUGAUUAUGACUAUAAUAGACAAGUAAUUCUUAUUGUGGAUACUAGUCCUAUUGCUAUUGAAUGGGUUGUGGAUCAAGAUGAUUCAAGUGGAAAUAGAUUUGCAGUUCGAUUUGGAACUAAAGUUUUAAGUACUUGUCAACAUACAUAUUCGCAAGUCAAAAGAGAACUUUGGGGAGUUAUUUUGGCUAUGAAAGCUGAAAAGGAUUAUUUGAUUGGUACAGCAGUAGUAAUUGAAACGGAUUGCUUGCCAUUACUUAGAAUGAUUACUAAUUAUUCAAUGUCGAAUAUUGCAAUGUUAAGAUGGAUUGCUUAUAUUAAGUCAUUAAAUCCGAAAUUUAAGCAUAUUGUUGGAAAAGAUAAUUUAGUAGCAGACAUGCUAUCUAGAACAAGAUAUGAAAGAGAAGAUAAAAUGGUUGAAGACAUUGAUGAUGUUGGAUCAAAAUUCUAUUGAGUAUCAAAUCUUAACAAAGAAGAUAAGCUAUUUCUUGAAGAAUUUUAUGAAGGAAAAUUAUUGGAUAUUGGUCAUUACUUGAAUACCUUGACUAAACAAGAAAAUUGGUCUACAGAAAAAAUUAAAUAAAUAAGAAAAAAGGCAUAUGGAUUUUUUCUUCAAGAAGGAUUUUUUUGGAAGAGACCAAAAAAAAGAAUUGGAAUGCCACAAAGAGUGAUAGGCAAUAAAGAAGAAAAAUAAAAAUUAUUAAAGAGGUUUCAUGAUAGUUUAUGGGCAGGACAUAGAGGAAUUUGGACUACUUUUGCUAAGCUUAAGGAAUAAUAUUGGUGGAAAAAUAUGUAUCAAGAUGUGCUCUUAUUUGUAGAGUCAUCUAAAAUUUGUCAAACGUAUUCUAAUAUACGACAUUGAGAUGGUCUUCAUCCUACAUAUCUUUUAGCUAUUUAUUUUAAAUAGGUUGUUGAUUUGGUUACUAUGCCAAUCGGGUUAUGGCAAAUGAGAUAUUUGGUCUUCGCUCAUGAAGAUUUAUCAAAUCAAGUAGAAGAAAGAGCAUUGAGAACAAAAUCUAUGGAAAGAAUUUGUAGAUUUUUGCUUGAAGAUGUUAUUUGCCACUACAAAUGUAUAGAAAAAAUUACUGUAGAUUGUGGAGAAUUAAAUGCAUAAGAAGCUUAUAAAUUCUUUGAAAGAUGUGGAAUUAAACUAUCAUUGUCUAUUACUUAUAAUCUUGAAGGAAAAGCAAAAAGUAAGCAUGGUCACCCACCGAUUGUGAAAGAAUUAGUUAAAGCAUGUAAUGGGAAGGUUAGAGAAUGGCCACGACUUUUGUCAUUUGCAUUAUGGGUUGAUCGAACAACUCAUAGCUCAGUAACAGGAUAUAUGCCUAUUGAGCUUAUGACAGGUCAAAAACUAAUUAUGCCAAUUGAAAAAAAAAGUACCUACGUGGAGUGUGCUAUCAUGGAAAGAUGGAUUGACAAGAGAAGAACUUGUAGCUAUUAGAAUUCAAUAAUUAGAACAAAGAUCGGAAGAUGUGCAAAUAACAUUAGAAAGGUUAAAAAGAUCAAGGUUACAAAAGAAGCACGAUUUGAUAAGCAGCAUUGAUUGAGACUUAAAGCAUUUGAAGAAGGUGAUUGGAUUUUGGUCUAUGAUAGUAGCUUGGACAAUCAACAUAGUACUUUAAGGAAUUUUUUUAAGCGAUGGUUUGGACCGUAUGUGGUAACAACUGUUCAUGAUAAUGUAACUUACUCAUUGCGGGAGUUAGAUGGAAUGGGGUUAAAAAUACCAAUUACAAGGAAGCGAGUAAAAAUAUUUAAAUAAAGAUAUACAGAAAUAAAUAUAGAAGACCUUAGUGAAGACAUAGAUAUUCUUCAACAGUAAGAUAAAAUUGACUUGGAUAGCAAAAGUGAUGAAGAGGAUUUGAACAAAGACUUGGAGAACAUAUUAUAAAUCAAACAACAACUAGAUUAUUUGGUACAUACCAGAGGAUGCAUAGGUUGAGAGGGGGUGGAUAUCAUAUUGCAAUACAACUAUAUGGUGAAAAUAUAAAUGGAAAAGAUUUAUUAAUAUUUAGUUAUCUUGGAUGUUAAAAACAAUGGCCAAUUCCAGUGCCAAUAUUCAGGGGCCAGUUAAUGUCAUCCCAUUGCAAGUUGUGCCAUCGAAUGUAAUAACAGCAUAUAUUCUAUCGGCAUCAUCGAAUCAAGUAUCUUUCAUACCAAUGAGACGACCAAGAUCAUUUUCUAAUCCUAUAUGGAACAAACUUAGUAGGUAUAUAUCAGUGGAGACACCCAAUAUGCAUGAUGGGCGUGUAAGAAGACCGCAUCGUUGUUUUCGUUGUAGACAAAUUGAUUAUUAUGCCAGUAAAUGUUCAAAUCUCAAAGCCAAUGACAAUUACGUGCCAAUGUGCAGAAAUAGCAAGCAGUUGAGGCAUACUUAUCAGCAAUGUAGUACUCCAUUCAAUUUCAAUAAUCGGAAUCACCAGAUCCAAAGCUAGGGAAAAAUUGAGGAAAUAAAUCGAGGUCCUCGAGAUUCUCCGGUAAAUGAGAUGGAAUGAGUCUAAGCCGUUCUUACUAAGAAUCCACAAAAAAAAAAAAAAAAAACUAAUUCAAUAUUUGGGUGAAUCUGAUGUGAAGGGCUAAUUUGACCCAAUUAUGGGGACAUCCAAUCUAAGUCCUAGUAUGGGCCUCUUACCCAGUAUGAGACCUGACUUGGUUGAGCAACCCAAUGAGAUCCCAAAUACGGAGGCUUCGGUUCCAUUUCAAGCUGUUCCAUUUUCUAUGCUAUUUUGAAAAAAUAUCCUUUCUAUGAAAAGAUCCUCUUAGAGGUUGGAAUUCCAUGGAGACAAGUCUGCAUUUCUAAUUUGGAGUCCGGGGCGGAAGAAUAGAAGACCUCACGGAGUUAAAGGAAAGGAGAGCAAAAAUAAAGGAGCAUUCAGAGAUCGAGAUUUUGAGGUUGAAGAGCUAGCUUCAAGCUCCUUCAAAAGGUAUAGAAUUGGAUUUCAUAGGGUUGGGAGGACUUUGCAAUCAUUGCUCAAAGUCAGUAUUUGUAUUGAUGAAUUGAGUUUUUGCAAUAAAGUAAAGUUUAAUACUCUUGACUGUUUUAUGAAAUUGGAGAGACAUAUGUAGUUGAAAUUUUAGAAGUGUCUAGAUAGUUGAGUAUACUAAGUGCAUGCAAAAAUUUGUGUUAAUCUUACAAUACGGAUAGAAGAUAUUUGAUCAUUAGUAUAAAAAGGUAUCAGAAGUUGGCAUAUUGGAGUUGUUUAGAGUUUUUGUAAUAUCUGAGAUCUACUGACUGAAAUAAGGUGAAUUUUGACACGAUAAGUCGAGGACUUUAAGGUGGAGCUGCACACAAAGUUUGAAUGAGAAUUAAUGGUCAGAGAAGGAGAAAUUGUAAGUUAAAGUUCGUCAUCAACCUUUUAGGCAGCAGUCAAGGGACUUCAACGUGGAUUUACGAUGUUUUCUUGCAAUCUGUAAGUUGGAUUGGAUUGAACUUCUUGAACAUUUAGAAGACUUGUAAAGACACUAGUGGUAGAAGUUUCACAACAAUCGGAUGGUCAGAUUGAGAAUUACAGCUUGCCGAGGCUCAUUAUUUAAAGUUAGGA
rnacentral:lncRNA from 1 species